rnacentral:rRNA from 1 species
GGUUAAGACUAAAAAGUCGGAGCCGUAGCGAAAGCGAGUCUGAAAUGGGCGUUUUGAGUACGAGGUUAUAGACCCGAAACCAGGUGACCUAUCCAUGUCCAGGUUGAAGGUGCGGUAAAACGCACUGGAGGACCGAACCCGUGUAAGUUGAAAAUUGCUGGGAUGAGGUGUGGAUAGCGGUGAAAUUCCAAACGAACUUGGAGAUAGCUGGUUCUCUCCGAAAUAGCUUUAGGGCUAGCCUCGGAAUUAGGAUCAUGGAGGUAGAGCACUAUUUGGACUAGGGGCCCGUCUUGGGUUACUGAAUUCAGAUAAACUCCGAAUGCCAUUGAUUCAUAUCCGGGAGUCAGACGAUGAGUGAUAAGAUCCACCGUCGAAAGGGGAACAGCCCAGACCAUCAGUUAAGGUCCCUAAAUGUAUGCUAAGUGGAAAAGGAUGUGGAGUUGCAUAGACAACUAGGAUGUUGGCUCAGAAGCAGCCACCAUUUAAAGAGUGCGUAAUAGCUCACUAGUCGAGUGAUCCUGCGCCGAAAAUGUACCGGGGCUAAGCAUACUACCGAAACCAUGGAUGCGACCAUUAGGUCGCGUGAUAGGAGAGCGUUCUAAGGGCGGUGAAGCAAGAUCGUGAGGACUUGUGGAGCGCUUAGAAGUGAGAAUGCCGGUAUGAGUAGCGAAAGAUAGGUGAGAAUCCUAUCCACCGAAUGACUAAGGUUUCCUGGGGAAGGCUCGUCCUCCCAGGGUUAGUCGGGACCUAAGUCGAGGCCGAGAGGCGUAGACGAUGGAUAACAGGUUGAGAUUCCUGUACUAGUUAAGUGCGUUUGAGCAAUGGAGGGACGCAGGAGGCUAAGAUGUGCAUUCUGUUGGAUUAGAAUGUCCAAGCAGUAAGUCUUGUGAAGAGUCAAAUGCUUUUCACUUUAAGGACAAGCUGUGAUGGGGAGCGAAAUUUAGUAGCGAAGCGUCUGAUGUCACACUGCCGAGAAAAGCUUCUAGUGAGUACUUAACUACCCGUACCGCAAACCGACACAGGUAGUCGAGGAGAGAAUCCUAAGGUGAGCGAGUGAACUCUCGUUAAGGAACUCGGCAAAAUGACCCCGUAACUUCGGGAGAAGGGGUGCUGAUCGCAAGAUCAGCCGCAGUGAAUAGGCCCAGGCGACUGUUUAUCAAAAACACAGGUCUCUGCAAAAUCGUAAGAUGACGUAUAGGGGCUGACGCCUGCCCGGUGCUGGAAGGUUAAAAGGAUGGGUUAGCUUCGGCGAAGCUCAGAAUUGAAGCCCCAGUAAACGGCGGCCGUAACUAUAACGGUCCUAAGG